AGGCUACGGACAGCUGCAACAGGUGGGAUUCUUUAGACAAAUGUUCGGUUCAUCGUAUAUCGGUUGUAAUCCUAAUGCUUAUCGGUGAUUGUACGACUAGAUCAAAUGCCAACUACUGCGAGGGUAGACGCCGUUUGGUCGCACGUUGUGUCGGCUGUACAAGAGGAAUUGGCCAGGUUCACCAGUUGUAGUGACAAACUGAUGGCGAGCUACUGAACUGCCUGGAGUUGAAGAAGUUUUAGCCAGCUUUUCCUGAUGGUCUGGUAGGAAACUGCUGUAGCCCAGUUCCCCCACCUUCUCACUCACUCACACACACACAUGCACAAUUGCCUAUGGAUCAUUACACUUAAAGGACAUUACCGUGCGUUGGACUGUUCUGUGUGUUGCCAAUCUGGUACCCAGGUUGGUGGGUGCUACUUUCUGGGCUGUGUUAUUUUCCUUAGUUGAUUUCUCUAUUAUUUUUGUUGCAACUAAACUGUUAAAGUGCACUUAGCAAGCUAAAAGCUUUCAGACUGUUAAUAUCAAGGGUUAUUGAUUGUUCUUUGUUUGUCAUUUAUUGUUAAUAUAAGGCGCCAAACAAAUCUA